rnacentral:lncRNA from 10 species
UGACAUAUCCUACUUGGUUUAGUUAUGAUAACUCAGUCAGCAAUUCAUUUACUUAUGCACUCAUUUAUUCACCUAAUGUCUAUUGAUUAUUUAGAAUGCACCAGGCACUUGAUCCAGCUGUCCAGAAUACAAGAUAUACUCCUGAAGUCUGACUUUCAUUCAUUAACAACCACAUGGAUGAAGAAAGCAUAAAAAAAGAAACCAUUAAAAGAUAGCUGGAUUAUAACCUAGCUCCCAUUUGCACAGAGAGCUGUGGAAGUCAGCAGGAAGUGGAGGAUCACAUCUCACCCUGCAAGUGCGAGCUAUGCAGAGUGCUGUUCUGCUGAGGAAUGCGUAUGGAAAGGUGAGGAAAGCAACCACACAGCGGAUAAAGUUGAGAAACACUACCUCAGCCCUGUGGCCAAGGUCAGCAUCAACAGCGACACAUUAUGUUGGUGGUAUAUACUCACAUGAUGUGGUCAUGUGAUGUGGUGAUGAGAAGAGCAUUUCCUCCUCAAAGCCCAUAACCCCAUUCUAAUAAUGAGAAAACUAUCAGCAAACCCCAAAUUGAGGCACAGAGUGCAAAGUGCCUGGCCGGUACUCCUCAGAACUGUCAAGGUCACCAAAAACAUGGACAGACCCAGCAACUGCCACAGCCCAGAGGAGCCUAAGACGAGAUGAAUAAAUGUCAUAUAGUCUCCUGAAUACCAUCCAUGAGCAGAAAAAGGACAUUGGGUGAAAACCAAGGACAUCUGAAUAAGGCCAACCUCCUCCACAGCCAUCAAAGUGAUGCUUACGAGACCCAAAGCUGAUCAAGCCAUCGACCACUUAGAUUCUGCAGGCACUCUCUGUCACAAUCAGCAAUGGUGACUUCGAAGUCAUCAUGAGAUGGAUGGCAGGAUGCAAAAUUGCUCAAACAGCAGUGGAGAAAUGCUCUCUGUACCUUCAGAAUGGGAAGUUUUUGUCGACUAGCUUUCUGUUUGUUUAUUUCAAUAAGUUGAAUCAUGAAAACUAUUCCUAAAAAGAAAAGAAAAAUCAUUAGGACACUUGGAAGCCACUCUCUAAAGCCAUGGGUAUGGCAAUGGAACUUCAAGAACAGGAGCAACCAGAAGGGUCCUUAGAAGCUACAGACACAAUGGCCCACUUAUAUACAAGGUUUUGAAGAGCUCCUGAGAGAAAUGCACGGAAAAGCCAACAGUGGUAGGUACGUGAUGGCAAUAGCUACUGCCUUUAAUCCCAAGAAGGAAGAUCAUAAGAGCACACAGCUUAAGCAUACGAGUAUCUCUAGUUAUCAACAUUAUAUCCCCAUGUAAAAUAUUAUGUGAUACAGAGUCGAAUUGCAUAUUGAAUUCUUUUGAGUAAGGAGGAAGAAAUCUCUUUUGGGAGAUCCAGUAAGACUUUUCUACCACUGCUCUUUGGGAAG